rnacentral:rRNA from 1 species
CCCUUAGAUAUCUUGGAAUGCACGCGGGAUACAAUAAUUAAGAUAAUAAGUUUAUUUUCUUUUGGCUCUUUUUCUCUUCGGAGUUAAUGUUUGCCAAGAAAACCUGUACCGAAAGGUAUGGGAAAUCUCAAAAUCUUAAUUUUGACAAGGAUUGUCUCUUGUAACAGAGGCAUGAAAGAGGAAUACCUAGUAGGCGUGAGUCAACACCUCGCACCGAUUAAGUCCCUGCUUUUUGUACACACCGCCCGUCGCAUCAAGGAACAUGAUUGAAGUCAUGAAGCUUACGGAUAAUGUGUGUUUUUCUUCGGGAAGAUUGAUUAAAAGUAAACUGAAUGGUUUUAAUCUUACCGUGAUGAAGUCGUAACA